UGGCGUGUUCUGGGUCCUUGGUGUGUCACCGCGUGUUCUUAGUGUGUGUUUGAGUCCUUGGUGUGUCACCACAUGUCCUUGGUGUGUCCCUGUGGCCCUGGCGUGUUCUGAGCUCUUGGUGUGUCACUCUGUGUGCUUGGCAUGUUAUCACCUGUGCUUGGUGUGUUCUGGGUCCUUGGUGUGUCACUGUGUGUUCUGAGUGUGUGUUUGAGUCCUUGGUGUGUCACCACAUGUCCUUGGGGUGUCAGCACGUGUUCUUAGUGUGUGUUUGAGUCCUUGGUGUGUUCUGGGUCCUUGGUGUGUCACCGCGUGUUCUUAGUGUGUGUUUGAGUCCUUGGUGUGUCACCACAUGUCCUUGGUGUGUCCCUGUGGCCCUGGCGUGUUCUGAGCCCUUGGUGUGCCACUCUGUGUGCUUGGCAUGUUAUCACCUGUGCUUGGUGUGUGUUCUGGGUCCUUGGUGUGUUACCACCUGUGCUUGGUGUGUGUUCUGAGUCCUUGGUGUGUCACCGCGUGUGCUUGGCGUGUGUUUGAGUCCUUGGUGUGUCACCACAUGUCUUUGGUGUGUCCCUGUGGCCCUGGCGUGUUCUGAGCUCUUGGUGUGUCACUCUGUGUGCUUGGCAUGUUAUCACCUGUGCUUGGUGUGUUCUGGGUCCUUGGUGUGUUACCACCUGUGCUUGGUGUGUUUUUGGGUCCUUGGUGUGUCACCGCGUGUGCUUGGUGUGUGUUUGAGUCCUUGGUGUGUCACCGCGUGUGCUUGGCAUGUCAGCACGUGUGAUUGUUGUGUUCUGAGUCCUUGGUGCAUCAGCAAGUGUGCUUGGCAUGUUCUGGGUCCUUGGUGUGUCACCACAUGUUCUUAGUGUGUUUUUGAGUCCCUGGUGCGUCAGCACGUGUGCUUGGCGUGUUCUGGAUCCUUGACGUGUCAAUACGUGUGAUUGAUGUGUUCUGGGUCCUUGGUGUGUCACCACAUGUUCCUUGGCGUGUCAGCACGUGUGCUUGGCGUGUUCUGAGUCCUUGGGGUGUCACCACAUGUCUUUAGAGUGUCAGCACGUGUGCCUGAAGUGUUAACACGUGUGCUUGGUGUGUUUUG
rnacentral:lncRNA from 1 species